rnacentral:rRNA from 1 species
AUGGGCAACUGCCUAUACGUCAUGGAGAUCGAGGAUGGCCUGCCGUCCCGGCUUCGGUGGUUCCAUGCCCUCAUCUACGCCCCCCCCCCGCCUGAUUUCCUCGGCCAGCAUGAUAGGUAUUGGCGCCCUUUCGACCUGCCCCGCUUGGAUCACCCCGACGCUGAUCGCGACUCAGAUAAGUACAAGGAGCCUCCAUCGCCACACCCCUGUGCAAUCUGUGCCUUCACGGUGGUCGGCGACUCGCGGAUCUGGGUGUCCAUGGUGGCCGCUGGCACGUACUCAUUUGACACUGUGAGGAGCGAGUGGAGCAAGGUCGGCGCGUGGGCGCUUCCAAUCAGAGGCCGUGCCUUUUAUGUUCCCGAGUACAAGCUCUGGUUCGGCUUCUCGGACGAACACGGCCGGCUCUGCGCGGCCGACCUGGCUCUCACGCCGCAGAAGGUGAAGACGACCUGCCUCCGCUCGAGGGGGUGUUCCGUGACGGUGUCCCACAUCCUGCCACUGGGUUCCGAUCGACAAGUUGUGUGUGGCCAGGCUAUUCGGGAAGAUAGAAGAGGCUGGGAGCUUUGCGGUGCUGUCCGGCAUUGA